rnacentral:rRNA from 1 species
GAUGAACGCUGGCGGCGUGCCUAAUACAUGCAAGUCGAGCGAACGGACGAGAAGCUUGCUUCUCUGAUGUUAGCGGCGGACGGGUGAGUAACACGUGGAUAACCUACCUAUAAGACUGGGAUAACUUCGGGAAACCGGAGCUAAUACCGGAUAAUAUUUUGAACCGCAUGGUUCAAAAGUGAAAGAAGGUCUUGCUGUCACUUAUAGAUGGAUUCGCGCUGCAUUAGCUAGUUGGUAAGGUAAAGGCUUACCAAGGCAACGAUGCAUAGCCGACUUGAGGGGGUGAUCGGCCACACUGGAACUGAGACGCGGUCCAGACUCCUACGGGAGGCAGCAGUAGGGAAUCUUCCGCAAUGGGCGAAAGCCUGACGGAGCAACGCCGCGUGAGUGAUGAAGGUCUUCGGAUCGUAAAACUCUGUUAUUAGGGAAGAACAUAUGUGUAAGUAACUGUGCACAUCUUGACGGUACCUAAUCAGAAAGCCACGGCUAACUACGUG